rnacentral:rRNA from 1 species
UCUGUAGGUGGUCAAAUAAGUCAACUGUUAAAUCUUGAGGCUCAACCUCAAAAUCGCAGUCGAAACUAUUAGACUAGAGUAUAGUAGGGGUAAAGGGAGUUUCCAGUGGAGCGGUGAAAUGCGUAGAUAUUGGAAAGAACACCGAUGGCGAAGGCACUUUACUGGGCUAUUACUAACACUGAGAGACGAAAGCUAGGGUAGCAAAUGGGAUUAGAUACCCCAGUAGUCCUAGCCGUAAACAAUGGAUACUAGAUGUUGAACAGAUCGACCUGUGCAGUAUCAAAGCUAACGCGUUAAGUAUCCCGCCUGGGAAGUAUGCUCGCAAGAGUGAA